GGUGUAGGCGGCUUGGCAAGUCGGGUGUGAAAUCCCUGGGCCCAACCCAGGAACUGCACUCGAAACUGCCUCGCUAGAGUCUCGGAGAGGGUGGCGGAAUUCCCGGUGUAGAGGUGAAAUUCGUAGAUAUCGGGAGGAACACCAGUGGCGAAGGCGGCCACCUGGACGAUGACUGACGCUCAGACCCGAAAGCGUGGGGAGCAAACA
rnacentral:rRNA from 1 species